rnacentral:sRNA from 1 species
AUUUAGAAAUAUGGUUACUAGACAUUAUGAG